rnacentral:misc_RNA from 1 species
GCGGAAGGGAGAGGAGGCAUGGGCGUUGCUCUGUGAUAAUUUCCUAAUAUCUUUGCAUUGUUGUUAUUUCAAUGGGCCAAAAUGGGAUUGAAAAUGGACAUUUUAAGCCUAGGGAUGAGGGAUAAUAAAGCUUUUUAGAGAGAGAAUUUUUAAGAGUUGUAUUAGAUCUGUGCUGGUGUUUCAGUGGGGAUAAGUGAGAAAGUAUGCUUGUUGAAGAGAGAGUAGAAUAAGAAGGGUGAAGGGGAGGGUGGCUUCUAGUAGUCCAGCAAAUGAACUAACAAUUCAUAUAUUCUACAAAAGAUGCAACAUUAACUAUCCUCCAAAACAGCACUGAUCACAUUUUUAUUUAGAAUAGCUACCUUCAAGUUAAACUGGUGAAGGAAUUAUCAUCAAUUGUAUGUGGCACUAGCUCCAUCAUGAAGUGCAUCUCUAGGAAUCUAAGGUGCAGAAGCAGUUAGGAUACUCUACUAUCCCAAAGUCAAUUUUCUUGAUUAAACUCUUCUAUAUAGGUUACUGAAAAUAACAGAGGGUCAUUGGUUAAAGCUAGGAAUCUAGGACUGAUGUUUGUUAUUCUUGUUUAUAUGAGGUUGGUUAGCUUACAGUCAUAGGCUAUUUUGGAGUGGUACAUCUGCUGUCUAUGAGCUUUGUUUCCAGUCGCAUAUGGCUUAUGAAUAAAUUUUGAAUGUGUUCUAUUUUUUGUAUGAUCUGGUGUAUCAUGUCAAUCUUCUUCACAGAUCCUAACUUUAUUUUAUUUUAUUUUCUUCAUG